CCGGAGCCCCGCGACGCCCUGCAGGUCGGGCGGGGGCGGCGCGGGGAGGAGCCGGCCCUGAGCGCGCCGCGCCCCGCCAGGCGGACAGACCCCCGGGACUGUCCGGAAAGAAAAGUUGCAGUCUGGAAAACUCUAGAGCCCAAAGGUGGUGACAGACCAGCCCUUGGAACCGAGAGCACAAUCGGAGCUUUUAUUCCGGUGUUCCCGGGGCGUUCGGGGAGCGCGGCUCCUGCGAGGGACUCACGUGGCGGUCACAGAACAGACGUGAUUAAUGACGGAAAAGCACACAGCCAGGAGCCAGGAGUGAUGUGUGGGGAUCUCCGAGUUCCUGAAAUAUUCCCUUUGCAAUAUGCUACCUCGCGGGGUGGCUCGUCCUGACCCGGCACGGCCUGGGGGGGUGGGGGUGGGAGGGGCAUUUGC